UAUUUUGAGUUUGGGUUAGCAGUUAGGGUUGAGGAAAGGUAGGGCCUGGGACAGUUAAGAACGAAAGGUGACGGGUGAGCUCAUAGAAGGAAGCAUUCUGGCACUGGAGCCACGGCCCCAGCGCUGGCGAACUUGAUACGGAGCCAUUUUGCGCCCUCUGCCCCCCAGGGGAAAUCUUAGGUUGACUUUUUAAAUGUUUUGCAGCCUGGAAGUUGUCCCCAGAAGGUAGACACGCGCACACCCCCCAAAAGGAGAUGCCCAUCUCCUCCGUGGUGCUGAGGCAGCAGCACGUGGAGAGCAAGGGACUGGGCUCCGGUCCUCCAGCGAUGGUUCAGGUUCCGUUGUGAAAGCGCAGCCCAGCAGGAUGGAAAUGGUGCUCUCUUUUUCUCCCCAGCUGCCGUCGCAUCCUCUCCUUUCCCCUCCAGGGAUGUGCAGGUUUUCUCCACGUUGCUCUGAGGGCAGCUUCCCAGCUCUUGUCCCAGCAAGGGGAGGUUCCUGGCUGUGGAGGCCGUGGAGAAGGUCCCUCAGCUGGAAUCAUCCCUGUGAUGGUCCCUGUCCCAGCGCAAGUUUGGGCUGAUUGCAGUGCCACGGCUGGAAAAUCUUCAUGCUCAUGGUGUUUAGACUACGUCGUGGACAGACGAGGAGUUGGUCGUCUCUGGCAAGAGGUCGUUGCGUUUUCCUCCAGUAUCUCGUAGUCUGCUGUCAGAUGGAUUUCUGUGAAGGGAGUGAGACUCUGAGCAAAAACUGCUACAGGUUUUUGGGGCUCUUUGCCCACACACGGACCCCGUGGAUGGCUUCAGGUCCCGCCAUUUCCCUCCCUCUGCUCACCCCAUCCCCAGACCUGGCCAGCAGCAGGGUUCAGCUCUGCCAGGCCCGCCCACAAAGCCCCUCUCUUCCCACCCGGCCUGGAAACCAGCACCCAGCUGCAAACACACACUCUCCUCUCGGGCCAAGAGCAGCCUCCUGCUUUGUUAGGCCUUCUAAAUGCUGCCAAAUAACGUGUGUCUGCA